UGCAACCGACUUCAUCAACUCAUCCACAAUGUCAACACAAACAACUUGUGCCACCUCUACUGCCAUUAAUUUAGUCCCUCUUGAGUUAGUUGCAAUAAACAAACACAAGAUCCCAAAGCAAUACACAAAAAAGAUAAACUUCUGCCUAGAACAGUAGAACCAAUAUCACAUUAAAAAAAUAAUCAAUCUCACAUUCAGUCCCCAUAACCAACACAAUUGCCAAGUACUUAGUCUCAGAACCACACUUCUUGAGCUUUACCUGCGUAUGGGGCUCCACAGAGUGUGCAUCGACAACGAGAAAUUCAGCUCCAUGUGAACGCAAAGCACCUGCACCGUCGAAUCCAUCGCCGGCACCACGCGCGCCACGCUCUCCCAACUCGGCACCAUCAGUGUUGUCUCCGAUUCACCUCCUUGGCGUCGCCGUUCUGCUCUGACAUGUGUCGCGAGCUCCCCACUCCGGCGAGGCCGUGAUGUUGGCCAACUCGGUCUUCCUCGUACUGCCACGACCGCGGUGGGAGGGUUGGGAUGUGCCGGCGUUGGCGAGAGCCACCGACGAGAGGAGCAGGGCGUCUCCGACGAGAGGCACCGGAAUUGGUUUGGGUUAAAACUAGAAGUGUUAGUGGUCACGGAGAAGGAAGGAAAUUAGAGAGAGGGAGAGAGGGAGGGGAUCUAGAUCGGAAAGGGGAAGAUUAGAGAAAAGUGAUGUUGAGGGAGGGUAUUUUAGACAACAAAAAUUUUGUUAGUGGGAAUAACAACUUAACAGUGUAUAGGGUUGAUAGGAAUUUAGAAUUAGAUUUUGUUAGUGGGAAAAAAAUCUUUUAAUUUAGGGGUAGUGGGCAUUUUUCCUAGACUAUAUAUGAUUGAGAUUUAAUUUUGACCAAUUAAUAUCGGCACCGCCAAUUUAGCUGUUAAUUUCAGGGAGCCCUUCUAGUGAGGAUUUGGUGAUGACUUUUCGGUUUGUGGUUUAAAAGACUCAAUUUUCGAUCACAUUUUGACAUCUUAUCCGUUCAGUUUUUAGGUUUAUAUAAGUAAAUCAUUUUUACAAAUUUUCACCUAAAUUGGUGUUCGUUAAGAUAACAAACUAGAUCAAAUUAAUGGAUGAACCAAAUCUGUCAAAUAUGAACCUUUCAAGUUCAUAAUUGAUAAAUCACACUUAUGAAUGUCUUAACAAUUUUCAAUAUAACUGAAAAUUUGAAUGUCUUAACAAUUUUCAAUAUAACUGAAAAUUUGAAGAAAUGAUCUACUCAUAAAUACCUAUAAAUUGAACGGUCAAGAUGUAGAUAUAAGAUCGAAAGAUGGGAUAAGCGGAAAAGUCUUCAUCAAGUCCUCACUAGAAGGGCUCCCGUUAAUUUCAAUUCUCAGCCUUCAACUUAGUUUUUUUUAGGCAGUGAAAUUUGCACUCUCUAUUUUACAAUUUAUACUCAUUUUUUUAUUUUUUUAGUCAAAUUUUUUACAAAAAGACAAAACACAUGUGUGAGUAAAGACAAAUUUAAAUUUACUAUAUAAAAAAAGGAGUGUGGAUUGUAAAUAUGAGAGCUAGCUGAUGACAACCGUUAUUACUUAUUAAAAAAUAACAAACUCAUUAACAGUUAUAUCAUAAAUAAAACAAAACGUUACAUAAUUGAAAUACAUAAAAGAUUCUAAAUCGAGGGCCACCAAGAUGGCUUGAUUAAAAGCUGGAGCAGAAAAAGAAUAAGUAAUCUAUAACAGAUCACUGAUAAUGUUAUCAUGCACACUACAUUAAAGAGUAUGUGGAAUGACGCAUGUUUAAAAGUACUGAAAUCUAUAAAAUAAAAGCGAAAAUGAACUAAAAGUAAAAUUAAAAUUCAAAAAAUUCCAAAACAGCUUGAAGAAGGUUGGACUGGAUCCAAACCCGGCCCAGAUUCAAAAGCCGAGCCUCAACCGAGGCUUGAUCCCCACUUCUGUUCAGAGCACCCCAAACAUAAGGCUUCUCGAUCGCCUUCCACCGCUGCACACCCGUCACCGGUGUUAUUUUCUAGCCCCAACCCGCCACAUGAUCCCUUUUGGCCCAGACCCAAUCCGCUAAAUGCGGCCCCUCCAACCUAUAAUCAAGCAAUAAUCGUCGCCAGUAGAAUACCUCCAAACCCAAUUGCGCCUCGGAGAACACACAUCAACGCAUAAACACCUAUUUUAGUUCCUAAGAAUGCUUGGCCCUUUCAAUCGGCCCCACCUUUACAGAUGUUGUAAAGUUGGACGAUGUCCCUAAUACGAAACCCCCAUAUUUAGAGUUCAAGUCCCAACUAUGUACCACCAGUUUGUAGACAAUAAGUUUGAGGGACCUUUGGUAUUGUGCGCCUACGGCGAGAGAUUAAUAUGUUUGCUAGGAUACUCUCGUAGACCACAAUCUGAAUAAUGACUAUCGUAACCGAGAUGACUUGCUACUUCACUCUCAUUUAAAAAUAAAUAAAUAAAUAAAUAUAUAAAUAAAAUAUAAUAAAAAAACCCACUGUCGAAUAAAAAAAAACAACAACAACAAUUUCACAUCACUUGUAAUUAGUAGUCCUCUUGGGCUUCAUUUACUGGGCCACUUUGUAUAAUAGUGGGUCUGUUCCGUCGUUUGAGAAGUACUAACUUUUUUUUUUUUUUUUUUUUUUUAGUCUAAAACAGAUUGACCGUAGAGGCGUAGAGCGAGAGCAACAAAAGUUGCCGGCCGCCGUGAACACGAACCCAGAUUUUUAAAUUCUGGAGAGACAACAAGCCGAUGCCAAAAUUCCCAUCUUGGAGCCCAUUUCUUCAACAAGCGGAUCAAAAAAAUUGGGAAGAAAAGGAAGUAGCUAACAACAACUGGGACUAACUAGUCAGGUGAGUCCACUAACUGACCCUAUAUUUUUUUUCUUCUUUCUUCUUUCAGUAAACUCCUCUGAGUAUAAUAAGCAUUAAGCAUGUAGGAAUCCCAAACAUCAUAAGUAUCUAAGUUUGAGAUUUUGUUAGGGGAACAUGUUAUGUUUAUUUGCCCUUAUGAAAAUAGAUUGGUUCCGUUGGUAUGAUCGUGGUUGUGAAAGAGUCCCAAUCAAUCGAAGUUCGAUCCUCACCGCUAACAAUUAUGUUGUCGGUGGAGCGAUUUGUAAAUCCCAUGCCUAGCCUAAAUCAAUAAUUGGAUGCUGUGUAAAUAAGUACGUGUCAGUGUCAUUUAUGAUCGAAGUUGUAGGUUUUUCCUGAUGCGGAUGUGUGUGAUAAGCCUUCUUUUGGUCCAUACUUUUUCUUAACAAACAAGAAAAAGACCAUUUAUUUGCCCUUUGCACCAUUUUUAUGUGUGAAUGAGCGGUGAAGGAAAUCAUUUGGAGAGUUUGCUGGGGGAGUUCUUAUGACUGAUUUUUUUUGCCCCAUUUGUGGAAGAACACAUCAAGCUCAUUGUACAAACUACUCUAGAGUCUAGAUGAAAAGCACUAUUCAUUGGUGACCCAGCAAUAUUAUGUCCAGGAUAUCAAUUGGGACAUUAUUGCAAUAUGGCCAAUGAAUGUUUCUGCAGUUGAGUGUCUCCUUGAUAAUUGAUCCAUGCAUACUGCAGAACCACCAAAUUCAUUGGUUCAAACAUUUAAAGCUUGAACAAUACAACUUUAUUGAGACUACCAAACAUCAAUCUUACAAGCCAAUUAACAGCAAAUUAAGAUAAGAGAACAUUAUUCUCAUGCCAAAUUACAUCUGGCUUUUCCUUAGUAGCACUUGAUUCACUAAAGUGUCCAAGUUUCUGGAUGAAGUGCCAUGGGGAGCAGUGGCUUCUUGAGCAAGUUCUUUCCAAUUCAAGGCCUUGUUUUUCAUUUUCUUGCCCUUCUCUCCCUCCAUUAACUCUUUCACAAGCUUCUCUACUUCGUCUCUCUUGACAUCGUUACUGAUCUCCAUGCCAACACCCCAUUCCUUGCAACUGAAGUGACAAUCUGUUUGCUGGUCACCAAAGAAUGGCCAACACAACAUAGGCACUCCGGCCGUCAAACUCUCAAUGGUUGAGUUCCAGCCACUGUGUGUUAGAAACCCUCCAACGGAUGGAUGGUUGAGUACUUGCUCUUGUGGGCACCAAUGUGCUAGCAGCCCUCUAUCUUUGAUCUCAGCUACAAAUUCAGGUGGCAAAAUUGCCGACUCGCCAACAACCAGAUCAGGUCUUAUCACCCAGAAGAAAGGAAACUUGCUGUUUGCAAGUCCCCAACCAAACUCUACUAGCUGUUUUGGUGUCAAGACCGCUACGCUACCAAAAUUCACAUAAAUCACUGAAUUUGGUGCCCUGUUCUUCAGCCAUUCAAGGCACUCAGGUUCUUCUUUCCAUAGACUGUAACCCAUAGAAGUCAGAGGGUUUUGCGGUAUCUGAUUCAGAAGUAAUUGGAUAGGUCCAAUGGCAUAAACAAGUGGAAGCCUAGAUGAGAGAGCAUCCAAAACAUUUUGUUCCAAUGCAUCAAAUGUAUGGAGAACAAUAGCUGAAGCCUUCUGAAUUCUUGGGCCUGUUGCUUCGAUGAAGUAGUUAAAAAUGAUGUCGUCGGGAUUUGUUGUUCGAAAGAAGGAUGGUAGAUCCCUUAAACGAAUAUCUUUCAUUCCUGGAAUCCAGUCUAUUACCGUGUCUAAAAACCCAUUGGUGAAGCAGCUCUCAUCUACAACACCCAAUAUAAUGAAUUUAAAAUAAACACCAUGUUAAAAUCUGAGAGUCUGCAAUAGGAAAGUUAGUUUGGUACCUUUAAGUGGUGCAAGUCCUUUGUCGAUCAAACUGGGAUAUUGUGUAAACCCCAUCAAGCUGCAAGCAGCAAUGGUGUAGAACAAUGCUACUGGAACUCCAAAUUCUUCAGCAGCUGUGAUGGUGAAUGUCGACAUAAAACCAUCUGAAACUAUACAACUCACAGGAGGAUUAGUACUAUUGUUCAGUUUCAUAAUAAGGGCACAAAAAGUAGCUAGGAAAUUUUUGUUGAUACAGUCACAAAGCAAAGCGACAUCUUGGGUGGCAUCUUCAUCCGAUUCUGGAAGCCCAUCUGGAAUGGCUUCGAACCGAAAAUCAGGCAAGCCGUCAAGGGAGUUGGGUCCUAGAGACUUAAGAAAUCGCUUGUGAUUGAACUCUGUGUUGACAAAGGUAAUGUGAAAGCCUCUAUGAUGGAGGAUUUUCGCUAGUUUAAGCAUUGCCUUUAUAUGGCUUUGAGCUGGAACUGGAAUAAACACAGCAUGAGGCUUAAUACUGUCCAUCUUAGUAUGGAUGUGAGUGUGGCAACUGGAGGAGAAAACGCAGAUUAUAUAGGCACCACUGUAGUCAUGUGUUUGGAAUUAAGCCAGAACAGGUUAGUAGCCAAUUAAGUACAUCUAUCAUAUAACCUUACUAGUGAUUUUGCAAAAUCUUUGGUAGGUCCUGAGUAUGAUUUUCAUACCUAAGUAAUUAUCUGAAUAUUUAUAUAUAUGUAUAUAAAAUCUUGGCAUCUUGGAAUAAAUGAGGAUCGAUAUCAUUGAACUGGUCGGCAUACAUGGUUUUAUAAUACCCAUGCUUAACCAUAUAUGCAUAUAAUCUAAUUCACUAAACCAUGUGAGUCACGCAAGUUCUUCGAUCAAGUUCCUGAAUUAGUACUGCUAUUGCAUUGAUAGAUUAAUCCUUGCGUGAAAGCCCUUGUGAGUUAUACAGUAUCAGACAGGCGAAGCAGCAGGGGGCAUAUUAUUAGAAGUUGAGAACCCAUGUAACUUAGAUUUCGUGUUAUGUACAUGUUAAAAAAUGCAGAUUGAUAAUAGUGCAGCCAGAGAGAUAUGGAUCAUGAAGAAUUGUGAUAUAUAUUUUUUGAUCGAGGCAUCUAGCACAGCAGGAAGUACAAUAACGAGGAGAUAUGGUCAAGAAAACAAGCUUGGCAGUACUCAAAAGACUAUGUUCUUUUGCUGUGGAACAAAAAUGGACUUCUAUCUGUUAUACAUGACAUACAGGACUUCUUCUUAGCUUUUAUGUUUACCUCGAUAUUUCGUAAUACAGUAAUUUCUAAUUGUAAGGCACAAACCAAUCUCCGCGGCUGUUUUUAGAUCGUUCAGUUUCAUUUACCACUUCAAUAUAAGAAUAUCCCACUUAUAAGUUCUAACACACCAAAACUUGAAUGGAUAGUAAUUCCUCUUUUAUUUCUUGGUUCAUAUUCACAAGGAAUUAAAACUAAGCAAGAGUUUGAAAGUUAUAUAUGAGCUUUGCCGGUUAAACUCCUAUGUCGUCACUGUAGGUUUAUUGAUGACAAUCAAGGAUUUGUGCUGGGGAACGAUGGAUCUUGGAUGAAAUAAUUUACACUCGGUAAUUUAUUUGUCACCCUUUGGGAUAACAAAUGUCAUUUUAGAAACUUCCAGUCUCAGUUUAAUGCUUUAUGUCUGCAUAGACCUUGACAAGCACUCAGCAGUUCAGUUCAAAUUCCACUUUUGCUUAAGUUGGUUUUGGAUAUCUCUCUCUUGCUAGAUAAUUAAUGAAAAAGUCAUUGACAUCUGAAUUUAUGCAGGUUUAUCAACAGUGCUUGCAAAUUUUGUACUGCUGUGUGAUCUGGUAUCAAAAGCUGCGAAGAGGGUCUGAAUAUCAUUCAUUUGAUAUUGUAAUUUUGCUGUAAUUAUUAGAUAUGAAAUCACCACUUGUCAACAAAUACAGUGUCCUGAACACUAGAAGAUCUGCAUCAAGUAUAUGCUGAUUUGUUAUACUACUGAGGAGAUAAAAUUCUAAAUUCCUUGUGGCUAUGGAACUGUGUCAAACCGAAUGAAUGUUUGGUAUGAUUGAAUGCAGUAAAUGAUUCAACCAAAAUUUAUUCAAAAACUGAUUCAACCAAAACAUCUUCAUUGCUUCCGAUUUAGAGGAACAAAACGGGAUAGAACUCUUCCUAUAAAUGCAUGCAACUUGAGUUUGUGAACCUAUCUUGAGACUCUUAACUCUUAACAGAGCAGCCGAGACCCUUAUAUUUAUAUUGUGAACCUAUCAGAGCAGCUGAUUCUAAAGCCUCGUUUGGUCAAGCACUAGCCAAUUUCGAAACAAACCUAUGAAAUUAAUGAAAUAAACUGAAUUUCAAGUUUCACAACAGUCAAGACUCAAUUUUGAAAUGGCUAGAAUUAGAGCCAAGCAGAGUGAGCGAGCAUGGGUUAGAUUACCUUGUGUUUUUAGUGAAAAUAGUUUUACGUAUUGUGGCACAUCUAAUAGAUCCAUUUAAAGAUACUUCGAUAAAUACAGUGUUGGACGAAUAUUUAAUAUUGACCUCCAUACUGUAGAGAGUCAGGGUCUUGACCAUUUUCCAAUUAGGAUCACUAUGACUUCGCUGGCAAUUAUUUGUUAAAGCUUCUUCCUUCAGAUCGUAACUUUCCAUCAGCAUGUCAACAUUAUCUUGAAAGGUGUCAGUGUCCCAAAGGCUCUCUCGAACAAGAAACCUCACUGCGCUUGUUGCUUGAAACGAAGUAGCCAUAACAAAAAUACAUGUUUCCUAUUCAUUUACAGGACAAUUUAAAAAAAAAUUAAACUUGUACAACAAACAAAAUUAAGUACUACAACAACAACAACAAACACUUACAAAAUAAAAUACGUAGCAGUACCACUUGUUUUGGAGAUCCUGCAUAUAAUGUGAAAGAUUAGAAUGACUGCAAUGAUGAAGUGAGUAUGAAAUUCAAGCAGAAAGUGAAUCCAUAACAAUAUUUGCAUAAGAAUUUUACUCACAUAUAUUUUUUGAAAUUUGUCGAUGAAAACAUCAUACUUGCUUGAAAAUUCAACCUACACACAAUAGGUAAUAUUAGCAGAAGCAGAAGAAUUAUCAGCUCUUGCAUAACACCACAUCUAGAACUGUUCUAACAAAGGAGAUACGAAAAUCAAAAGGUCCCUUGUAACACUACUCGGAGAAACUUUGAAUAACACAAAUCAAACAACUUUAACCUACUUUAAAAUAAAAGAAAAUUUUUGCAUACCUCUUUCAUCCCUUCUGGUUUCUGUAUUAUUAUCGUAUCACAAUAGAUUUGUCCGAGCAAUAUUGGUUUAACCUGCAAUUGAGAGGUUGUGGACUUGAAUGAGAAAAUUAAAUCAAAAUAGCACAAGAUUGUUCAAUAAGAAAAACUAUCAGUUGAUUAAGGUCCCUGGUGUGUUUAAGUUGAAAAGAAAAGUACUAAAUGUAUAUUCCUUCACUACUGAUCCUGCAACAAGUAUUGUUGCAAUAAAAGAGAGGGAACUACAUUGGCAGAUAAUGAACGAAGCAAAACCUGGCCAACUCGGCAAUUAAAUUAUUGUCAACAUAUAAAAUGGCUCAUUAGUUAUGUAAAGUAAGUAAACAAUGAGAAAAAAUGUGUUGUAUGUACCCAGUUUGGGUUCAGACCACAAGCGAGAGCAUCAAGAGCACGCCUAGCCCUUUCAGUGAUAUAUCCGUCUUCAGUAUUAGCUGUUUCCAGAAUCAAUUUGCGCUCAUCCUGCACAUAAUAAUAUAAUGAAACGAGUGAUUUCCAAGAAGAUGUUUCGCACUCCAAGUCAUUUGGGUUUUUUUUUUUUUUUUUGAAGAAAAAGUCAUUUGGGUUGUCAAUAAGAGUAUUAGUCACAAAAAAAAAACAAAAAAAAAAAAUUUAACCUCAUCCAUUGUGCAGAUUAGGCCAUGAGAAGCAAAGACGUGUUCCACCUCAUUCCACUUUUUGUUCAGAUCAUCUGCAAGAGAUCAUAACGGAGAACGCAAUUUAAAGACACUGAUUGUCUGAUAACAUAUGCUAUAACUCUUUCUAGUCAAUAUUCGGAUGCAGAUAUUUCCAAAAUUGAAGAAGAAACACAGUCGAUCUGACACUCAACCCUGCAUUAUUCAUUAUGUCAUACCCGGACUCGACCUGCAUAUUGUUCUAAGUAACACGUAUAUGGGUCUGUCUGUUCCCAAACUUUACAUAUAUUCACAAUAAAAAGCAAACAAAAAACAAAGAAAACACAGUUUUUUCGAUGAAACAAAGAAAACACAGUUAAGAGGAAGAACGAGAACAAGAGAUGGAGGAACGUACCAGAUAUAUUAUUUUUCGAGAAUACCACACGAUAAGUCGGCUUGUCCAUCCUUUCCAAUCGAAACCCUGAAUCGGCAUGCAAAUAAUUUAGGGAUAAUUUUUAAGGACAUGAUCAUGGACUUUACAAAGGCCCGUAACUAAUAAGCAAACAUAGACAGAGUGGCCCAAAAGUUCAGGCCCAUGUUUAGACAUUAGUGAUUUUAUCAGGGACAAAUAUGUAAAAAUCCUUUCAAAAAAUAAAAUGUAAAAAUAAAAUUUACAGUGUAAUUAAUGAUAAUUGAUUGCCAGCAAGGAACAAUACGUUGAAGUCAUCGUUGUUCUUUAUAUUGGUGAUCGACAUAAUAGGGAUUCACGGUAAUAUAUAGGCAUACAAAGUUCCCCAUAAAGGAAAGUUAUUAGCCCUAAUAAUUAUAGGAAAAUUAAUAUUCCUGUAUACAAAAAGGAGAAUCAUUCUGGAAUACACGGGAAGGGUAAAUAAGGCCCUUCAUAUAUAUCUACAGACGAACGUGUGGUUGACACACGUGUCUAAAGAAAUUGAGAUUAACCUGAUGUCGAUUUAAACUCUAGGCCGGUUGCCUCACAAACGAACCCAAAAACACAUGAUAAUUUGACGUGUAGAGAACGAAGAUUUCUUCAUCUUAGGUUUCACCGAAAAAUGUUGAAGACCGAUAAUUUCCAGGCUUUGAUCUCUAUCCUCGUACCAUGCAUGGACUAUCUAUGAACACAAGAGGAACCACCACAAUGAUACGCGUCGAACGUGACUGGUGCACCGUCAUAUCGUUGUAGAGUUUAUGCUCAGGUCGUCGGCAGGGAAACAGAUCGAGAGUUUUUAUUGUUUUUGAAGACUUAUGAAAUGAUGUUGUACAUGUAUAUACACACCGUGUAAUAAAACAGUCUCACUAAGUUAAUUAUCACCCUACUUUGAGCUUCAGUAGCCAUAUAUGCAAAUGUUUGUUUUACCAUAGUUAUCAUUAUUAUAUAUACCUGAAACUGAAUUGAAUAACAUCUAUACAUGCAUCAUGAUAUAUUUCACAACAAGCAUAAACACAACGCUGCAAAUUUCAAUAAAAAAAAAUAUAAAAAAAUUAAUAAUAAGAGUUUCCUAGGUACACUCGGAGAAUCUCAUAAGGACCAGGCAUGGCAGCAUCAAUAGGGAUUCCACUAUCGACAUCCUUCUCAUCAACACGUCAACACGUCAACACAAAUACUGCAAUACACAAAACACAGAAGCAGAGAAAAUCAUCUUUGCUAUGCUACUUCGAUCUAACACAAUGGGACUGCUCUCUCUUUAUGGAAAGGGUUAACACAAGAAAUUUCUACGGGUAUAUACUGAGGCCUAGAAACACGGAUGCAAAUUUGCUCUCCACCCUUACUUCCUCACCCUCAUUCCCACCCACCUAGUAUAAUGAUACAUGUCCCUUCUCUUUGUUGACUCUAACCAUAUGGUUAACAACACAAAUCUAUUAUAAUAAGGGUAAAAGUUAAUAAUGAUCCUCGUUGUUUGGAGUCAUAGUUAUGUUUGUCAAUGUGGUUUAAAAAUGAUUACUUUUGGUCCUCGUGUUUUAUAUAUCAAUUAAUCAUAAUCUAAUGAUAACAUUUUGUCUAACAUCGUUAGUAAGGUUCUCACGCCGAUAUUAUAUGAUGAGAUAAUUAUGUCUUAUACAUUCCUUAUCAAACAAAAAAUAAAAGUUAAAUAGAAGUAUAAGAAAAAUGAAAAAUCAAAUUACUAAG
rnacentral:lncRNA from 1 species